rnacentral:rRNA from 1 species
AGCAGCCGCCGCGGUAAUACGUAGGGUGCAAGCGUUAAUCGGAAUUACUGGGCGUAAAGCGUGCGCAGGCGGUUUUGUAAGUCUGUCGUGAAAUCCCCGGGCUCAACCUGGGAAUGGCGAUGGAGACUGCAAGGCUAGAAUCUGGCAGAGGGGGGUAGAAUUCCACGUGUAGCAGUGAAAUGCGUAGAGAUGUGGAGGAAUACCGAUGGCGAAGGCAGCCCCCUGGGCCAAUACUGACGCUCAUGCACGAAAGCGUGGGGAGCAAACAGGAUUAGAUACCCGAGUAGUCCCUGUCUCUUAUAC